rnacentral:rRNA from 1 species
AGUGAACGCUGGCGGCAGGCCUAACACAUGCAAGUCGAGCGGCAGCACGGCAAUAGCAAUAUUGUGGGUGGCGAAGCGGCGGACGGGUGAGGAAUGCAUCGGGAUCUACCCUGUCGUGGGGGACAACGUAGGGAAACUUACGCUAAUACCGCAUGAUCUGGAGACAGCAAAGCCGGGGACCUUCGGGCCUGGCGCGAUGGGAUGAGCCGAUGUCCGAUUAGCUAGUUGGCGGGGUAAAGGCCCACCAAGGCGACGAUCGGUAGCUGGUCUGAGAGGACGACCAGCCACACUGGAACUGAGACACGGUCCAGACUCCUACGGGAGGCAGCAGUGGGGAAUAUUGGACAAUGGGGGGCAACCCUGAUCCAGCCAUGCCGCGUGGGU